UACGUAGGGGGCAAGCGUUAUCCGGAUUUACUGGGUGUAAUGGGAGCGUAGACGGCAGGGCAAGUCUGGAGUGAAAGGCAGGGGCCCAACCCCUGGACUGCUCUGGAAACUGUCCGGCUGGAGUGCAGGAGAGGUAAGUGGAAUUCCUAGUGUAGCGGUGAAAUGCGUAGAUAUUAGGAGGAACACCAGUGGCGAAGGCGGCUUACUGGACUGUAACUGACGUUGAGGCUCGAAAGCGUGGGUAGCAAACAGG
rnacentral:rRNA from 1 species